AGUGAACGCUGGCGGUAGGCCUAACACAUGCCAGUCGAACGGCAGCACAGUAAGAGCUUGCUCUUACGGGUGGCGAGUGGCGGACGGGUGAGGAAUACAUCGGAAUCUACUUUUUCGUGGGGGAUAACGUAGGGAAACUUACGCUAAUACCGCAUACGACCUACGGGUGAAAGCAGGGGAUCUUCGGACCUUGCGCGAUUGAAUGAGCCGAUGUCGGAUUAGCUAGUUGGCGGGGUAAAGGCCCACCAAGGCGACGAUCCGUAGCUGGUCUGAGAGGAUGAUCAGCCACACUGGAACUGAGACACGGUCCAGACUCCUACGGGAGGCAGCAGUGGGGAAUAUUGGACAAUGGGCGCAAGCCUGAUCCAGCCGUACCGCGUGGGUGAAGAAGGCCUUCGGGUUGUAAAGCCCUUUUGUUGGGAAAGAAAAGCAGCAGGUUAAUACCCCGCUGUUCUGACGGUACCCAAAGAAUAAGCACCGGCUAACUUCGUG
rnacentral:rRNA from 1 species